UACGUAGGGGGCAAGCGUUGUCCGGAUUUAUUGGGCGUAAAGAGCGUGUAGGCGGUCUGGUAGGUCCGUUGUGAAAACUCGAGGCUCAACCUCGAGACGCCGAUGGAAACCCUCAGACUAGAGUCCGGAAGAGGAGAGUGGAAUUCCUGGUGUAGCGGUGAAAUGCGCAGAUAUCAGGAAGAACACCCGUGGCUGAGGCGGCUCUCUAGUACGGUACUGACGCUGAGACGCGAAAGCGUGGGGAGCGAACAGG
rnacentral:rRNA from 1 species